AAUGAUUAGAGGUGUUAGGGUUAAAACAACCUUAACCUAUUCUCAAACUUUAAAUUGGUAAGAAGUCCGACUUGCUUAAUUGAAGCCGGACAGUGAAUGCGAGUUCCUAGUGGGCCAUUUUUGGUAAGCAGAACUGGCGAUGCGGGAUGAACCG
rnacentral:ncRNA from 1 species